CACGUAGGCGGUUUGGUAAGUCUGGUGUGAAAGCCCUCGGCUCAACCGAGGAAUUGCAUCAGAAACUGCCGGACUAGGGUUCGGGAGAGGAGAGUGGAAUUCCCAGUGUAGCGGUGAAAUGCGUAGAUAUUGGGAGGAACACCUGUGGCGAAGGCGGCUCUCUGGACCGAUACUGACGCUGAGGUGCGAAAGCGUGGGGAGCAAACA
rnacentral:rRNA from 1 species